GAAGAUACGCGCGUUCGCCGGCCGGGCGUAAAGUACAUUAUGAUAUAUAACAACCAUCGAGAUCGAAGCUCCGUUCGUCAGGAAACGACGGGAUAUAUACACCCGAUUCUGAAUCCUCUGUACAGCACACGAUCUCGCGAACGAGUAAGCACGGUGGCUAGCCCAUGUUAUAUAUGUGUUUGAUUCUACUCUCUCGUCCAAUUAUUCAAGAAACAGCGCGCGUGCAUCUCUCCAUCGUUCGGGUGAUAGUAAAGAUUCGAUGGGAUUCGCGCGGCCGUCCGCCUCGAGCGGUCUUUCGUCCCAAUAUCCAGAAGCAGAGUUUGAAAAACUCUAGCGACGGCACGGGUGUCCGACUCACGACAUCGAGGAAAGACAGCCGGUCCCCUCUGAACGGUAUAUUAUAUGAAACUUUAAGUCUCGUUCAGGUAGUGUGUAAGUCAAAAAUUCGAUGGGACUCGCAUCCGUCGUCCUCCGCGCGGUCUUUCGUCCCGAAUCCAGAAGCAGAGUUUGAAAAACUCUAGCGACGGCACGGGUGUCCGACUCACGACAACGAGGAUAGACAGCCGGUCCCCUCUGACGGUAUAUAAUAUGAAACUUUAAGUCUCGUUCAGGUAGUGUGUAAGUCAAAAAUUCGAUGGGCCUCGCAUCCGUCGUCCUCGCGCGGUCUUUCGUCCCGAUAUCCAGAAGCAGAGUUUGAAAAACUCUAGCGACGGCACGGGUGUCCGACUCACGACAACGAGGAUAGACAGCCGGUCCCCUCUGAACGGUAUAUAAUAUACAUUAUGCGACGAUGAUAGACGACAAACUGGAUGAAACUUUAAGUCUCGUUCAGGUAGUGUGUAAGUCAAAAAUUCGAUGGGACUCGCAUCCGUCGUCCUCGCGCGGUCUUUCGUCCCGAUAUCCAGAAGCAGAGUUUGAAAAACUCUAGCGACGGCACGGGUGUCCGACUCACGACAACGAGGAUAGACAGCCGGUCCCCUCUGAACGGUAUAUUAUAUAUGCGAUGAUAGACGACAAACUGGAUGAAACUUUAAGUCUCGUUCAGGUAGUGUGUAAAUAAAAAAUUCGAUGGGACUCGCAUCCGUCGUCCUCGCGCGGUCUUUCGUCCCGAUAUCCAGAAGCAGAGUUUGAAAAACUCUAGCGACGGCACGGGUGUCCGACUCACGACAACGAGGAAAGACAGCCGGUCCCCUCUGAACGGUAUAUUAUAUGAAACUUUAAGUCUCGUUCAGGUAGUGUGUAAGUCAAAAAUUCGAUGGGACUCGCAUCCGUCGUCCUCGCGCGGUCUUUCGUCCCGAUAUCCAGAAGCAGAGUUUGAAAAACUCUAGCGACGGCACGGGUGUCCGACUCACGACAACGAGGAUAGACAGCCGGUCCCCUCUGAACGGUAUAUAAUAUGAAACUUUAAGUCUCGUUCAGGUAGUGUGUAAGUCAAAAAUUCGAUGGGACUCGCAUCCGUCGUCCUCGCGCGGUCUUUCGUCCCGAUAUCCAGAAGCAGAGUUUGAAAAACUCUAGCGACGGCACGGGUGUCCGACUCACGACAACGAGGAUAGACAGCCGGUCCCCUCUGAACGGUAUAUAAUAUACAUUAUGCGACGAUGAUAGACGACAAACUGGAUGAAACUUUAAGUCUCGUUCAGGUAGUGUGUAAAUCAAAAAUUCGAUGGGACUCG